rnacentral:rRNA from 1 species
CCUACGGGAGGCUGCAGUGGGGAAUAUUGGACAAUGGGCGAAAGCCUGAUCCAGCCAUGCCGCGUGUGUGAAGAAGGCCUUCGGGUUGUAAAGCACUUUCAGUGGGGAAGAAAGCCUUGGGGCUAAUACCCUCGAGGAAGGACAUCACCCACAGAAGAAGCACCGGCUAACUCCGUGCCAGCAGCCGCGGUAAUACGGAGGGUGCGAGCGUUAAUCGGAAUUACUGGGCGUAAAGCGCGCGUAGGCGGUCUGAUAAGCCGGUUGUGAAAGCCCCGGGCUCAACCUGGGAACGGCAUCCGGAACUGUCAGGCUAGAGUGCAGGAGAGGAAGGUAGAAUUCCCGGCGUAGCGGUGAAAUGCGUAGAGAUCGGGAGGAAUACCAGUGGCGAAGGCGGCCUUCUGGACUGACACUGACGCUGAGGUGCGAAAGCGUGGGUAGCAAACAGGAUUAGAUACCCCAGUAGUC